UGCAGGAACUUAGAGAAGCUUCGGCUAAUAUUGAACCAAAGCAUCGAAACGACAUUGCAGAUUUAAUAAAUAGUUACAAAAGUUUAUACCCAAAAUGGGUUUUUAAUCUCAGCUGAAAAAGGCUUUUACAUUAAUCACCCUUGAAGUUACUUUUCUACAGUUAAGACUUGAAACUGAAGACAGAGCAAGGAGACUUCUAAGUAAUGUGUCAUUUUUGUUGAAACCAGGGGGUUAUUUUUUCGGUAUUACUCCUGAAAAAGUGAUUGCCAAAAAUUGUUGUUUCUGGAUUUGUGUAUUUUUUUUUCUUUUGGUUACUGCUGCACCUGUUUUUGGGAGGUGAUUGUGUAAACAUUUUAGUGUGAUUUAGUUAUUGUAAUAAUAUUUUUAACAUUGUUAAGUUUAAUAUUAUUGUAGGAAUAUUUUGAAUUAUAA